UGGGCCAAACCAUUGCUCUGACCUCAAUGAUGGCACUUCCUAGUUAAAUGAAGGUUAACUAAAAAUACUGUAGAUGCCAGGUCUGUGUGGUGAAUAUUCAUCAGAUCAGGGUGAGGAUGAUGAUGAAGAGAGACUGAAAGUAAAUGAGAGGAAAGUUGAGCAUGGCAUUCCAUUACACAUUAGAGGGAAAAAAUGUAAUUCCUCUGUUUAACUUUGUUGUGCAUAGUCACUUCUCUCACCUUUCCUUCCCAUUGCCAAUGGAAGUGUUUUUUAUUCUGCCAAGGAACAAACACACACUAGGGAGGGAAACCGCGUACCCCUUCCCACCUCUAUUCUACUCAAACCUCCUAAUUCCGGCUCCUCCACCAUUGCAACUCAGCAAAUAUAGCGAGACACCAAGAAGGCAAAUGUUUCAGCACCAUGGACAGAGGUGAAAGGAGGAUUCUGAGAGCUGGCAUUCAGCACCACUGGACAGUGGACAGCAGCCAUCUCAGGUGAAGCUUCUCCAAUACACCACUUUUGAUCAGGGCCCAUAGGACUCUGGUCAAAAGUAGUGCACUAUGUAGGGAAUAAGGUGUCAUUUGGGACACCACCCUUGACACUGCAUCUACAUCCUACUUAUGGAGAGUCACUGGAUUUUGCCCCUGUGGAGUAUAUAGUUGUCAGGGCAUGGCUGGCGUGUGAAUGAGAAAGGUCUGUUAGCGACUCAGGACACGAGAAAGGUGAGAAUGGACGGAGAAUGUGUGUGUGUGUGCCUGUGUGUGUGUGAGGGCGUGUGUGUGUGUGGACCAGAAUGUCCUUACAAGUGACAAGAAUGUCCUGACAACAUAGAAAAACAAGAACAAUUCAGAAACCACUUAGCAUGUCCUGAAAAGUAAAAAUUAUAUUUUAGGUUUAAGGGUUAGGUUAAAGUUUUGGGGUUAAGCUUGGGGUUAAGGUUAGGG